rnacentral:rRNA from 1 species
GGAAUAUUGGGCAAUGGGCGCAAGCCUGACCCAGCCAUGCCGCGUGAGUGAUGAAGGCCCUCGGGUCGUAAAGCUCUGUGGGGAGGGACGAACAAGCCGGACCCAAUACGUCCGGUCCUGCCGGUACCCCCUUAGCACGCACCGGCUACCCCCGUGCCAGCAGCCGCGGUAAUACGGAGGGUGCAAACGUUGCUCGGAAUUAUUGGGCGUAAAGCGCACGUAGGCGGUUUCGUGAGUCGGAUGUGAAAGCCCAGGGCUCAACCCUGGAAGUGCAUUCGAAACUGCGGAGCUCGAGUAUGGAAGAGGGUCGCGGAAUUCCCGGUGUAGAGGUGAAAUUCGUAGAUAUCGGGAGGAACACCAGUGGCGAAGGCGGCGACCUGGGCCAAUACUGACGCUGAGGUGCGAAAGCGUGGGGAGCAAAC